rnacentral:rRNA from 1 species
UACGUAGGGGGCAAGCGUUAUCCGGAUUUACUGGGUGUAAAGGGUGCGUAGGCGGAUUUGUAAGUCAGCGGUAAAAAUGCGGUGCUCAACGCCGUAUCGCCGUUGAAACUGCAGGUCUUGAGUGAGCGAGAAGUAUGCGGAAUGCGUGGUGUAGCGGUGAAAUGCAUAGAUAUCACGCAGAACUCCGAUUGCGAAGGCAGCAUACCGGCGCUCAACUGACGCUGAGGCACGAAAGCGUGGGGAUCGAACAGG